rnacentral:rRNA from 1 species
AAUGGGCGAAAGCCUGACGGAGCAAUACCGCGUGAGGGAGGAAGGCUCUUGGGUCGUAAACCUCUUUUCUCAGGGAAGAACAAAAUGACGGUACCUGAGGAAUAAGCAUCGGCUAACUCCGUGCCAGCAGCCGCGGUAAUACGGAGGAUGCAAGCGUUAUCCGGAAUGAUUGGGCGUAAAGCGUCCGCAGGUGGCUAUGUAAGUCUGCUGUUAAAGCGUCUAGCUCAACUAGAUAAAAGCAGUGGAAACUACAAGGCUAGAGUGCGUUCGGGGCAGAGGGAAUUCCUGGUGUAGCGGUGAAAUGCGUAGAGAUCAGGAAGAACACCGGUGGCGAAGGCGCUCUGCUAGGCCGCAACUGACACUGAGGGACGAAAGCUAGGGGAGCGAAUGGGAUUAGAUACCCC